CAGCAGCCGCGGUAAUACAGAGGGUGCGAGCGUUAAUCGGAUUUACUGGGCGUAAAGCGUGCGUAGGCGGCUAAUUGAGUCGGAUGUGAAAUCCCCGAGCUUAACUUGGGAAUUGCAUUCGAUACUGGUUAGCUAGAGUGUGGGAGAGGAUGGUAGAAUUCCAGGUGUAGCGGUGAAAUGCGUAGAGAUCUGGAGGAAUACCGAUGGCGAAGGCAGCCAUCUGGCCUAACACUGACGCUGAGGUACGAAAGCAUGGGGAGCAAACAGGAUUAGAUACCCCGGUAGUCCCUGUCUCUUAUAC
rnacentral:rRNA from 1 species